rnacentral:lncRNA from 1 species
UAAGUUCAAGUGGAUCAUCUUCAUUAAAUUGUUGUCAGCCACGGUUUCUAGGGGGACUUUGAGGUGUCCUUCUCUGACGUGCUCUCUCUUCAACCAUGUCCAACCUUUCUUGUAUAGGCUCAAGCUUCCGGUCAAAGAGUCGCUCCACCUCACGUAACAUGGCUUGAAGAUUAAGGUCUGGAACAUUCCAAACAGGUUCUC